AUAUCUUUCUGUACGGGAAGGAUGAGAAGCUUCGACUAAGGUUCGAUUCGAGCGCAGCGAGAAAGCGUUGCCGUAGGCAACGACCC
rnacentral:sRNA from 3 species